GAAAUGCAAGACACACAAAGCUUCAUUUUUGAUUGAUAGGCAAGAUACGGGUUUGGGAAAGACCCUGGAGUACCUGCUGUCCACACCGUCCCUCAACUCACCCCUUCCCUGGACAGAUUCUACCUGGCAUGCUUUGCCCCCAAAGCUCUCCCUCUUCCCAGAGUGAUGCACAGAUCAGAACCACCAACGGCAGAAGGUCUGGGAAGCCUGAGGAGUGGUAAGACUGGAAACGUGCAAACAGUUAUUCACAGACGCUGGAAUCUUGAGCUCUUCAAUGCCUAACGAACAGUUAUGUAACCUGCAGGAGCUGAAUUCUUGGUGACGGAGCCAGCAAGAUCCUUCCUGGGGAAAACAAUUUACUUGAUACACAGUGUUUA
rnacentral:lncRNA from 1 species